AGGGAUCAAUGGGCAUGAGGCUGGUUUGAAUAGGUGGAGCAAUGUGGAAGGAGAGCAACGGUGAAAAUCGGCAUCAUCAUGCAACAGUACUACCAUGUUUGGGGGUGCAAGGAAAGAAACGUGCUAAGGAUCUUCAGCAUUCACGAAGGCGAGACAGACAAGAAUCUAAGCGUAAGCAGGUUCAAAUGAACAGAAAGGGCGCGGACAUUCCGACUGCGCAGUCAAAGAGAAAGUACGUGUUUCCGACCAGCACCUGAACGCACCAUCAUUCCUGGACGCACCGUAAUUUUGUCGGGAGACUCCGAGCGUCGCUGUCACCGCUUCAGUCCGCCCACUGGAGAAAGCUCUACCCUAGCCGCAGACGAGCUGCUCGCCCACGUGGAGCCUCGGAGCCAAUCGUUGCCUUGGAAUAUGAUUGACCUCUUUUGUAGCCAAUCAACGUAAUAGUUUUGUGCGCAUGACAAGUCGAUGGGCCAAUCGCGGCUCCCAAAUGUUCAGCAGAUUCGUUGUCGUCACCAAAGGGACUUUUGACAGACACAUGGUGCUUUCAAUGGAAAAGUUCGACUCCUUUUACGGUCGGGCAGAACCAAUCGCCGGAAUACGGGCAACCGGGCAAGGCCCUUCGGACUGGAAGACGCCCCGAGGCGUCAGUUUGGCUCGCUGCAAAUGUCACUGCGACUAAAGAGUGAAGGCACAAUCCCAUUUUGAAUGCGUCCACCUAUUGUAUUUUAACGUGCUGUCCUCUUGUGGAUAUAAAUAAAUAAAACGAGUCGAGGAGGGGAUUAGCAGAAGAGGAGGCUCCUAUUUCUCAAAUGACACGUUGAACUCUAGUGACACCUUGUGAUCGAAUUGGCAAGGACUAGUUGAUGGCAAAAAGGUAUCUUGACGUGUGACCUCAUUAAUUCUUUCUAGGUAAUCAGUCAAUGACGUCACCGUGUAGUCAGCCCCGCAUGAGGAAGCGCUUCUAUUUCUGUUUCAGGCAAACCCGGACCUUCAAAGGAGAUCUAACCACCUUUUAAAAACACCAUGAGUACCCAGCAAUUUAGUGAUCGCUAGUAAAAAAAAGAUAAAUAAGCAACACUGGGUUAAGAAAAUUUGUCUCCAAUGUAUGACAGUAUGCAUACAGUAAGUAUAUGCAGAAAUAUUUAAUUACAGCAAAUCUACAAUGCAAGAGUCAGAAAGAAGACGUGUAGACCAGUUUUGAUGUCACAUUGCCUGCUCUCAAUUUGCAGUCAAGUAGUCAACAAGGCUGCAGACAUGCUGCUCUUUUCAUGAGUCACUUGAGGUAUUUUUACACAGCAAAAGUCAGCUCAAUUAUUGCACACGUGUCAAUUUGCUUUCAAAGAUGUUUAUUGAAAUAAAUAUUUUUGAAAUUUUUAUAAACUUCAACCAUUGAUAAUGCUAUCACACAGUCAGAGCCUGGAGUUGCACCAUUUUCCUCUCGAGUCAAUAUGAUAUGAAAUAAGAAGAAUGAACUUUGCAUUUCACCGUAAGUGAAUCAGUAAUUGAAUUAUUUGUCGGGACUGUUAUUAGAUAUUGAUCACAAAGUAUUUUUUUUUCCUGAACAUCACACACUUCGUUAAUUUCCAAGCCAUAAUUCUUUCACCUUCCUUUCACCCUCACUCGGGUUCAAGCUGGGUUUGGAAUAAUUAAGGUGCACUUGAUUUAGCUUGCUAUUAGCAGGCUUCCUAAAUGAAGUGCUCCUCAAACUUGGGAGACUGUUCUGUGCAGGAGUGACGUGUACUGAACUCUAUGUAUAAAUGAGUCUCCCAUAAUUCGGAAGAUUUCCGUGAUCAACUCGACGUAACAGUUUGCAAGCAGACAGCAGCAGUCAGCUGUUUUGCACAUCAAAUCCUCUCACUUCUGCAAGAUUUUGAGUGCAACAUGCAGGUAAAAAUGUGCACAAUUUGAAAAGUCUAACUUGGUCAUCGUCAAUCUUACCCACGUUUCUUUUUUUUUCCCCUCUCAAUAGGGCACGUUUUCUCAUAAGAAAAUUAGAGCAGACUUUAUUCACAAUACCCUCUAUAGUAUUCUGCAUUUCAAAGCAUGCCAAAGAAAUGUUUCAGUUUCUGCAUAGUGCUGGCUAUACGAGUGCCAAGGUUUUUGAUACCUUUACAAGAAGUACAAGUUGGUAUGUACAGACAAAGAGCGACGUGAGUAGAUCCAGUAUUGUGUAAACCUCAAGUGCUCAAAAUAUCUACAAAUGUAAGUCCGGUGGAACUCAUAUAGAAAGUUGAAUAGAGCUGAAAAAUGCUCAAAAGUAUGGAAGAGCUAGCAAGCGAGUGUGCGUCUGUAAGAGUGCAGGAGCUAAUUUAAGUGUUUUUUUUUUGUUUUUUUUUUACCAUUUGUUUUUAAAGACUCUUUCUUUUAAACACACCUUCCCUAUUCAUGCAGUACCACUUCCGACUCUGGUGCAAAUUCCUUGCCUUCUUUUUUCAGUGUACCCAUAGUGGUUUAAGAUGCAGUAUGCAUUACAUAAAUCUGUAUUCUCUAGCAUUGAAUAUUAUGUUUGGGUCUACUGACACUUACUAGGUCAAAUAAGAUACAACCACAUUCUACAUUUGAGGUCAUCGUUCUGAAUGUAAAGUAACAAGUUCAGGCCACUAGGUGACUUAUUGUACUCAAACAAACAAACAAGCAAAAAAAAAAAAAACAAAAACACUCGCUACAGUACAUGAGAUGUCAAGGAGAGCCAAACUAACAGGGGAAAAAAGUGUACAGUAAACACUGGCUUCUUGCUGGAUAUAUGAAGUCAGUCGUCUUUAGUUAACAGGCCUCACUGACACACAACACAUCCUGUACAUAGAAAUGAUUUUGAAUACAAUUAAACAUGUAUGUGCUUCUUUUGGAUGUUUGUAGACCGAUUGCACACAAGAAAAGGAAAAGCAGCAUCAAGGGUUGGUGUCCCGGAAGCAAUAUUAGGCAUGGUUUAAAAAUAAAAUAAAAUAAAAAAUUGAGUGAACUCCAAAUUUGCAUGUAAGCAGACUCUGAUAGCAUUUUAAGUUGUGCAAUUAAACAAAUAUUUUAGGUUUUGCUAAUGUGAAGAGUUUACAGAACUCGUUGUCCUUUGAAUUGUUCCCCACCCCCCACAAUUUAAAGAUAUAAGUAAAACAAUUUCAAUAAUGUACUGUAUAUUUUAACGUUUUUCAACUUAAAUUACUGUUUUAGCCCCUUUAAUAAUGUUAACCGGGGUAAGUAUGUGGUGUUGAUAGGCUAAAUAACAAGGCCAUAAUGUAGCCAAACAUUGUACUGUACUUUCUAAUAAUGUAAUUUCCAAUAUUUUCAUCUUAACAGUAUUUUAAAGCAACACUGCCACCUAGCGUACAUCGAGAGAACAUAAAGUACCUCCGGACACCCGUUUCACGAACGAUCAAUCCAGUCGGUUUAAGAAAGUUGGCUGUGUUGUAUGUCUUUUGUGUUUUAUGGACGACGCGUUUCUCUCGUGAAGUGACAGAAGCUUUGUAGUGAGCACCCCAAAAUCCCUCGUACUUGGGUGAUCAUACGAAUAUUUUCAGAGGUUGAUUGGAGCAUUAAGUAAAGAUGUUAACUUCAAUUUUGGUGACCAUCAAUGGCAGUUUUGGCACAGAAGGCGAAGUUUAGAUCCCUACAUUCCGGAUUUGGACUGUCAUGUUGAGGAAGCUCUUUAAAAGGACGAGGACGGAAAGGGACGGAGGACGAUUACUAUAUGAAUAAGGACGGAGGGACGAUAACGGAAGGGUACCCAGGUCACGGACGGAUUGGCAAAAUAGGGUAAAGUGCCCAUCUCUGAGAGAUAAUAUUAUUAUUAUUACUAUCAUAAAAAUAGGUUCACUCCAAUCACCAGUUCGGAGGAACACGUGUAUGACAGCUCACGCUACACUGCCAAGCCUUCAUUGAAUGUUCAAGCGAGAUUUUGGUUUCCACUGCCCGUCCUUCAAAAGUUUUGAGUCGCACAUGACGUGAGGCAAAAAUAUCAUCAACCCUCGUUUUGUUUCACCACCCACUUGCUUUGGUUCAAUACUAAAGUGCAACUUCACUGAGCGUUACAGCCACAUUUUGCAGUUACUGACGCUAACGAGGACAGACUGGGAAUAAAGUUAUUCAUUAAAAGUUAUUAUUAAGAAUACAGUAAUUAAUCACUGAAUUAAAAUGAUCAACCCCUUUCCGUAUCCUAAAAAUUUGGACUUGCCUGAGUGUCAAUUAGACUCUUGGACAACACUGAACAAAAAUCAAACACGAACAUCUGGAAGAAACAUGAUUAGACAUUUACAAAUCAUACAAUAAUUCACAGACAAAAUGAUAGUAAUAAUAAUAAUCAUAAUAAUAAUAAUAACUAGACACACAAAUAAAUAAAUAAAUUAGCUUCGACCAGCAAGCAGCAGGAUACAAUCUUUGAAAUGCUGCCUUAAAGGGGAAAUACACCAGAAUUAAAGUUCAAGGUUGUGACUCUGCAAAUGUUGACUCUAUUUUCUUUCAUUGUUUAUCAGACAAAUUAAAAAAAAAAAAAAAGGAACCAAAGGACACAUUCCUGAGUCUCGAUUAAAGAUUUGCACUGGUUAAAAUAUAAAGUGCUAAAACGUGAAUCGAAGUGUUGCGGCUGCUACAAAUCACUUUAAAGGACUAUUGCACUCAGUUUACGUCGUGCACAAAAUUUCAGGGAAGACAAGUGGAAAAGUGGGAUGGAGGAGGGCUUCUUAAUCUUUUUUAAUUAUUCUUAUUCUUGUGAAUUGAUGCUAAUAGGUGUAUAACUUCAAUGUCACGAUUAGAUACUGUAUGUACGACUGUUGUUUGUGUCCUGGAGGGAAAAAUCAUUUGACACUCAACUGCAGUCAGGGAGCAAAAAAUUUCUUGCUGGCAAAAAAA